AAUCAACGCUGGCGGCGUGCCUCAGACAUGCAAGUCGAACGCGAAAGUCCCCUUCGGGGGACAAGUAGAGUGGCGCACGGGUGAGUAACACGUAGGUAAUCCACCUUCGGAUGGGGAAUAACAACCGGAAACGGUUGCUAAUACCGCAUAAUGCAGCGGCACCUAAUGGUGACAGUUGUUAAAGCGGGGGAUCGAAAGACCUCGCGUCUGAAGAGGAGCCUGCGGCGGAUUAGCAGUUGGUAAGGUAACGGCUUACCAAGGCGACGAUCCGUAGCCGGCCUGAGAGGGCGGUCGGCCACACUGACACUGACAUACGGGUCAGACUCCGUACGGGA
rnacentral:rRNA from 1 species